rnacentral:rRNA from 1 species
UACGAAGGGGGCUAGCGUUGCUCGGAAUCACUGGGCGUAAAGCGCACGUAGGCGGUCUUUUAAGUCAGGGGUGAAAUCCUGGAGCUCAACUCCAGAACUGCCUUUGAUACUGAGGGACUUGAGUCCGGGAGAGGUGAGUGGAACUGCGAGUGUAGAGGUGAAAUUCGUAGAUAUUCGCAAGAACACCAGUGGCGAAGGCGGCUCACUGGCCCGAUACUGACGCUGAGGCACGAAAGCGUGGGGAGCAAACAGG